AUUAUUGUUUUCAAAAACGCUGUACAUAAACUAAAUAAUUGUAAAAUUUAAGCGAUUUCUGUAAUUAUGUUAUUUUUUUAUUUCGAUAUUACCUCUAUUUCGCCUAUUUGUUCAACAGAAAAAAAGGACAUUAACAAAAAUGUAUGCUUUUUCCGGAGGCAGAUUGUGAGCUUAAAUGAACGGUGGCCCCAUUUUUUUAUUUCAUUUUUCUUUUAAGUAUAUAAUAAAGUUCGUUUAUAAAAAAAUAUAGCGAAAUCUUAUAUUAAAAAAAAAAAU
rnacentral:lncRNA from 1 species